rnacentral:Y_RNA from 1 species
GGCUGGUCCGAUGGUAGUGGGUUAUCAGUGUCACAUUAGUGACACAUUAGUGUCACUAAAGUUGGUGUUCAACCCCCCACUGCUAAAUUUGACUGGCUUUAA